AUCGAACGCUGGCGGCAGGCUUAACACAUGCAAGUCGAGCGAGCGGCGGACGGGUGAGUAAUGCCUGGGAAACUGCCUGUUGGAGGGGGAUAACUACUGGAAACGGUAGCCAAUACCCCAUACCAUCAGAUGUGCCCAGAUGGGAUUAGCUAGUAGGUGGGGUAACGGCUCACCUAGGCGACGAUCCCUAGCUGGUCUGAGAGGAUGACCAGCCACACGGGAGCUGAGACACGGACCAGACGACUACGGGAGGCAGCAGUGGUGAAUGUUGCACAAUGGGCGCGAGCCUGGUGCAGCCAUGCCGCGUGUAUGAAGAAGGCCUUCGGGUUGUAAAGUACUUUCAGCGGGUGGGCGUUACCCGCAGAAGAAGCACCGGCUAACUCCGUGCCAGCAGCCGCGGUAAUUC
rnacentral:rRNA from 1 species